rnacentral:lncRNA from 1 species
GGGUCUAUUAAGGGGUGUUUUGGGGGUAGAAAGCAGGGAGGGUUUUACUAUAGAACCCUAUGGGAUUUUAUUUUCAAAAUUUUUUAAAUGAAUAUAACUUGAAAACUAUAAGUGAUAGAUACAUGCAGUCUUCAGAAAUGAUUAUAGGACAAUAAAAUAAAUCACAUGAAAUAUAGGGGGAUGCCCUGGGGGGUCAUCCCCACCCCCUUCAAUUUGAGAAUGUGCUAUUAUCUUGUAAACGGUCCAGAUCCCCACCCCUAAACCAUAUAUAUUCUUGUAGGGGACAAUAAAACAAAUCAAAUGAAAUAAAAGGGAAGUCCCUAGGGGGUCACCCCACCACCCCCUCUUGUUGGAAAACUUGUAAACGGUCCAGAUCCC